UUUGAUCACAAUUCCCUCAGGGGUUACCUGUUGUAACUAGGGAAUUGAGAUGACUGAAGCAUUAUAUUGCUUUAAAGAUGCACACAUUGGGCUGAGCAAAGGCAUAACAAAGUAUGAUAAAGAGGCAAAGAAAUAGACAAAGACAGAAGAAGAUUGAUGGAUCAUGAACAUGAAUACCACCAUCUUACAGCAACAUCACCAUCUUAGGAAGCUCCCUAUAAUGGAAGCAUGAGUCAGCAAUUAAUGCAACCCCACCCAGAAGCCCUAGAGCCUACAGAAAAUCAUCUCAACUCCACCUAAUGACCUCCCACCCAGAACCAGUUAAGAGGAUGAAGUAACUGACUAUAUGCCCAGAACUCUCUAUCCUUGCCAAUAGAAAGUCCUUCUGAGGUUUGUGAAUAAGAAUUCUGAAUAAAGUUCUGAAUAAGAA